GCCCGCUUGGCUAAGCGGUAUAGCGUGUCACUAGUAAACCAAAAAUACCUGACAUGACAAGGUGAUCAGUUCGACUCUGAUAGUGGGCA